rnacentral:rRNA from 1 species
UAGGCCUAACACAUGCAAGUCGAGCGGCAGCGGGAUUAGUAGCAAUACUAAUUGCCGGCGAGCGGCGGACGGGUGAGUAACGCGUAGGAACUUGCCUUUAAGAGGGGGAUAACCAGAGGAAACUUUGGCUAAUACCGCAUAAACUCGAGAGAGAAAAGCUGCCCGCAAGGGUGGCGCUUAAAGAGAGGCCUGCGUCCGAUUAGCUAGUUGGUGAGGUAAAGGCUUACCAAGGCGAUGAUCGGUAACUGGUCUGAGAGGACGACCAGUCACACUGGGACUGAGACACGGCCCAGACUCCUACGGGAGGCAGCAGUGGGGAAUAUUGGACAAUGGGGGCAACCCUGAUCCAGCGAUGCCGCGUGAGUGAAGAAGGCCUUCGGGUCGUAAAGCUCUUGAGGUUGGGAAGAAGGUUGUGGGGGAAUAGCCC